UAGAUGAAAACCAUAGUACUUAGUCAGUGAAUCAGUAGUAGGUCGUAGCCGGCGCCUCCCUCCUCACUUUUCAUUGUACGUUGUAUGAAUGUCUAAUGGAGUAAUUGAGAAACCUAGUCAGUAGUAGUUCUCGGCGAGCCUCCUUCUCUGUUACUCUUUCUUUCUCAUUCCGUCCUCCCGUCGAGCUGGGGAGCCGCAGCUCAUACCUCAAGGUGAACGUUCCAAAAGUGAAGAAAUCUAUUGUACUGCAAGAACAAGGAAUUAAUUUACUGCCUUCUUGUUUUUGUUUUACUGCUUCCUUAUUUUAGUUGAAGAUAGUUAAGGCAUGGACAAUUAAUUUAGUUGCCAUAUCAUAUGUACGGUAAAACUUGUUUAGCCAUAUUGAAAGGUCACUUCAAUAUUUUCUUGCA